ACGGGGCCCGCACAAGCGGAGGAGCAUGUGGUUUAAUUCGAUGAUACGCGAGGAACCUUACCUGGGCUCGAACGUAAGAUGACUGUAGGUGAAAGCUUACAUCUCUUCGGAGCAUUUUACGAGGUGCUGCAUGGUUGUCGUCAGCUCGUGCCGUGAGGUGUCGGGUUAAGUCCCAUAACGAGCGCAACCCUACCUUUAGUUGCCAUCAGGUAAUGCUGGGGACUCUAAAGGAACUGCCUACGCAAGUAGUGAGGAAGGCGGGGAUGACGUCAAAUCAGCACGGCCUUUACGUCCAGGGCUACACACGUGCUACAAUGGCCGAUACAGAGGGCAGCUACCUGGUGACAGGAUGCAAAUCUCCAAAGUCGGUCUCAGUUCGGAUCGGAGUCUGCAACCCGACUCCGUGAAGUUGGAUUCGCUAGUAAUCGCGCAUCAGCCAUGGCGCGGUGAAUACGUUCCCGGGCCUU
rnacentral:rRNA from 1 species